ACGCUUUAAUUCAGAUGUCAAUGGCUGUACUUUUGGAUUUAUUACUCAAGCCAUUGAUGAUCAAAGGCAAAUUUGUCUUGAAUCACACCACCUUAGGUCAUGACUGAAAUGUUUCAAAAUUUUUACCCUCAGGUCCCACUUGACAUGACUGAAAAUGUCUGAGAUCCACCAGUCACAGAAUAGUGGUUCAGACUGAGCCAGAGCCAGUCACAAAAUGGUGGCAAAUGAAGGCAGAGUUUGGCAUAAUCAGCUGGCAAUUUCUGAAAUCAUUUUCUACUUUGAAAAUUGCUAAAUUCUUUACCACAGCAUUUUCCUUAUGGCAAGGAGUUCCACAGCUCAGCUUUCCUCAAGCUCAGUACAGACAUUUGCCUGGAGGUAUCCCUAUUCUAGACACAGUUUGCUGAUCCAAAGGCUUCAAGUAGAGAAGGCUUUUUCUUGUAUAUUUUCCCCUUCCCACCUCUCUGUCUCUGUACCAACGCUGCCUCUGGAAAAUUCUGCAAAUUACUUGGGAAGAUAGGCAGACCAAUGUUAGCGUAUUGGAAGAAGCAAAGACCACCAGUGUUGAAACAACGAUGCUCCAACAUCAACUUUGCUGGACCAGCCAUGUUGAUCGAAUGCCUGAUCACCAUCUUCCAAAGCAGCUACUUUACUCGCAACUUAAGGAUGGAAAAUGGAAUAUUGGUGGACAGCAAAAGAGGUUUAAAGAUGUUCUCAAAGCUAAUCUAAAAAGCAUCGAGAACUGGGAAGCCUUGGCCCAUGAGCAUCCCAAGUGGAGGUCGGCCAUUAUCAAAGGUGCUAUGGACUUUGAAGAAGCACAAGUACAGGGCGAAAGGGACAAACGAGCUAAGCGGAAGGCAUGUCAAGCAAAUCCUGUCAAGCAAAUCCUCAUCAUGACCAUCUUCCAUCUGGAAACCUAUGUCCUCACUGUGGGAGGAUGUGUGGAUCCAGAAUUGGCCUCCACAGUCACUUACGGACCCACUGUUAAAGACCUUACCCUGGAAGACAAUCUUACUCGGCCAUGAGUAAUCGCUAGUGACUGGUGGGUCUCAGUAGUUUUCAGUCAUAUCAUGUGAGACCUCAGGGUAAAAAGUAUUUUUACCUAUCUCCUGUAAUUUCUUCUUUCAUUUUCCUUGUAACCUCAACUUGUACCUUAUUCUUCCUGCCCUCAUCAAACUGCCAGUUUCUUUCAUCCCUCCCCCAUGGUCAUUUUACAUUCACUUCUUCUACCUGCAACAGAUUUCCUCUCUCCCCUUCUUCUUUUCUGUUUAUAGUUUGUUUAAUAAUUAAUUAAAAACAUUACCAUUUUAUCUCAGUUUCUAAUUUCCUUCAACAUCUCCUCCGGCCCUUUUCCUUCACCCCCCUGAAUUUCUGUUUCUCCCAGCUACCUUUACUCACCAUGCAAGGAAUUGCUGGCGUCGCUACUGGUCCAACUAAAAGGCUAUGAAACAACUGGGGGCUGGGAUAGGCAAGUGAGGAGGCACUGGGUGGUACUGAGGCUCACCUGAAGUUGACCCCAAGCACACUGGUGGGCCCAAACCCACUGUUUGAGAAAUGCAGUUCUAGAAGGCAAGCUUAGCAGCUUGCCCAUCAAAAUGUUAUUGGUUUUCUACUAUCUUCUACCUUUUGCUGGGGCAAAGUUAGGCCUCUGUUAGAUACAACAAAUGGGGAAUAAGACUGAAGGAACAAAUCGGUGAGAGGUGGAAUGCCUUGGGAUGUCUGGGUGUGGAUCUAGCAACUCUAUUAAUAAGGAUGAAUAAGAAUCUUGGUUUUGUAACGGAGAUUCAGUUGUGGAUUUUCAUAGCAUGUACUUUGCCUGUGACUUAACUACUUUCAUUUUCCUAAUCACUGGUUUUUUGUUCCAUUCCAGGUGGCAUUACACCCUCAACAUCUGCAAUUUCAAGUCUACUAUAAACUGUAAUUUCAAUAUAAAUAAGAGGAAAUUGGGGUGGGGGAAUUUCCAGGAUUGGCCCUGGAUUCUGCUACCCUGAUGUUUUACUGAACAAAUUAAUUAAAUACAAGUUUGUUAAUUGAUUAAAAACUUUCAGUCACUUAGCAGUGCUAAUAUUUAUGUAAAAGCACAAAUGUCACCACUUAGAUUACACCACAAGAUGUUACAAUGUCGAUAGAACAGUCUCAUAGAAAAUGGCUGACUAAGCCUGUCUUGCUAUAACUAAGGUUCUAUCCAUUCCACUGUAAUUGAAAAGUUCAUGGUGGGUAGAUUCAGUGUGGAGCAAAGGACAGCCAUUUUUAACAUUUUUAAGGAACUUUCUAAAAUGAAGGGUGGUAGGUAUCACAUUUGCCUGGAAGUUGAACUUUCUUCUCUGGCAGAUCUUACCUGGAUUCCCAGAUACACAUGGUAUUGAAAUUACGUGUGUUGGGAGAAAGUACUUUUGAGUAGCCUGCCUCUCUUUUGUUUAUACACAUAUACACUGCUUUUCUUCCAAUGCUAGAACUUAAAACAGGUUCUGGGCCUAAGGUCCCCAUUAGGCUCUGCUUAGAGACUCCAACAAUAAACUAGCUCUGCUCCGGACACAAGUAAAUGCAAUUGGCCCCGCCUGCACUUUGUAUUAUGUCAGUUAAUAUGAUUUCUCAAGGUCCUUUUUCCAGCUGGAUGCAGUUUUAUUGCAAAUAAAACCCCAAUGGGACCAGAGGCUGCAGCAGGAGAACUGCAGCUGCCAGCUGCUAGAAGGUAGGAAGACAUGAACUUCCAGUGGAGAAAAAGAAUGCCCAGCAGAACACAAAACUGUGGAGGACACAGUUGGAGAUAAGUGCAGGAGAAUGUUAAGUUGACAUCUAAGGACUCCAUCAGAGACCAGUAAAGGGAGGUGGGGAGGAACUGGAAAACUGGAUGUAUAUAAUAAAGCAGUAAAAGCAGAAUGGCAGGUUAAUAUGUUACUUGUCUGAUACUUUGAUGAUUCUUAGUGACAAAAAAGAGAAAAGCUAACCAAUCUACUAAUAUUACUAUAUCUUAUAGAGCUGCUUGAUUGCCAGAGGAAGACAUUGCACUUAAAAGUACAGCAAGUAAAUAAGUUGCUGAUUUGUCUUCCUUUAAUUUAUGUUUUCUCAGAAGUAAGCCUCACAGUUUAUGAAACACUGCCCAACCACCUGAUCCCAAUGCACAUUUUCUCAGAAGAAAGUUCUGCUGAAUUCAGUAGGACUUCUUUCCCCAACCUAAUACCAAGAUCCAGUGUGGAGGGUUAGACUGAACAGUACAGUAUAUUCUGCCAUAGAAGAAGCAAGCCUGUGGAAAGCAACCCAAUAUCCUAUGUCAAGAGAACACAAUCUUUUUGAGUUCUGAUCCCAUCCCAUUGCAUGCCUUAAGCUAAGAGAAAAGUGUUCUUGGACCUGUAGAUUGACAUUUAUUUAGAAAGCAAUACUGUGCCAGGAUCUAGAGAGGUACUUUGAAAAAUGGAAAUGGACUGCCUUCAAGUCGAUCCUGACUUAUGGCUACCAUAUGAAUAGGGUUUUCAUAGUUAACGGUAUUCAGAGGGGGUUUACCAUUGCCUCCCUCUGAGGCUAGUCCUACCCUGCUCAGCUUGCCACAGCUGCACAAGCCAGCCCCUUCCUUGUCUGCAACUGCCAGCUGAGGGGCAACUGGGCUCCUUGGGACCAUGCAGCUUGCCCAUGUCUGCACAGGUGGCAAGGCAUGUAACCCCUGAGCCACUCACUGUGGGGGUGAUCUUUAGCUGGCCCUUUACACCCAGGAGACACGAGCGGGGAUUUGAACUCACAGACUCUGGACUCCCAGCCAGGCUCUCCACCCCACUGUGCUAUACCAGCUCCCUAGAGAGGUACUUUAGCAUACCUAAUUUGCAUAUAUACAGUGAAGUGUUAUUUUCUUUAUUAUAACGGCAGGUCUUCAUGCCACAUCACAGGAUGUGUGUGAAAGGUAACCCCUUUGCCUCCUCACAACAAAGGGGACAGUGAAGGAGAGACAUCAGAGGCUUUGGGGGCACCAGAGGAAGUCUUCAAGGGUGACAUUGCACCACAUUGGUGACACCAGAACGUAGGGAUAUUUCAAAGGCAACUAUGCUUCUGCUUCUUGUUCAUAGAACAGAUAUGACCUUAUAAUAAUGUAACAGAUAGGAAAUUGAGAGCUAAUCAUUUGCUGAAGAAAGACUGCAAUACUAUACUCACUUAACUUGGGAGUAAGCUCCAUACUAUGAAAUUCAGUGGGACUUUCUCCUGAGGAGACAUGUAUAGGAUUGUGCUGUCAGUGAGCUAAUAGCUUGAGGAAGGAUUUGAACCCAUGUUUCCUAAAUAACAAAUCCAAUCUGUUAGUUUUAGAAACCACAAUGGUCUGUUUCUAUUUCUCAGAGCAAAUAAUCAUCAAAAUCUAUGUCACAGUCACAGGGCAUUAUUUGUGCUUAAUCCAUUUAUAGCCCAUUCCUCACACUGUGCUGCUGACAGUCUUCAUAUGAUGGAGAAACAAGUAGCUCUGUUAUCCCCUCCCCUCAGAUAACACCACAUGUGACAUGACACUCCAUGAAGGUGCUUGGUCCACAUGUUCCUUACCCUUCAAAAGAGAAGGCCAGCUGGGUAUUCAUAUCUAGCACCUGCAAUACAUGUGACAUUAAAUAUGUAGUGGAGAGGGAUCUCUGUGCUCACUCACCUAUCAUGCAAAGACUUGAUGGUAUGUGAAUCCCUAUUUUUUAAAAAAAACUGCAUAGAAUGGCUCUUUCAUAUUGAUACACUAUAAAAUCAAAGCCUGUUUAUGUUAAAGUAUGUCCAGUUCAGCAACUUUAGUUUCACUUGAAUUUAAUGGGAUUGAGCUGGGGACCAGGCUUUUGGUUAUAAUAUUCCUACUGCUUCUUGCGUUGCUGUGAUACUCCCCACUACUAUUUUUAGAAUCUGUGUGAAUGUUCUGUAUGGCUCCUACACAGCUAAAUUAUUGUUGUUCUCCUGAGAGAUAAGUUUAUACAAUGGUUUUGUGUGGUUUUAUUUUAAUUCCUGUUCUGCUGUGAUUUUAUUGAUUUACUGUU